CAGGGAGACAACAAAAUGUUUAAUAUUAUUAUUUUGUCACCUUAGGUCGAUCGGUAUCUCACGUUCUUAAUUUAUUAAGAAUUUCAUUUCCUAAGUUUUUCUAGGUCACACCCAUUAUUUUUCCUGGGCCAUUAGCUCAGGUGGUUAGAGCGCACCCCUGAUAAGGGUGAGGUCCCUGGUUCAAGUCCAGGAUGGCCCAUAUCUCUAUGUUGGGGGUAUAGCUCAGUUGGUAGAGCGCCUGCUUUGCAAGCAGGAUGUCAGCGGUUCGAGUCCGCUUACCUCCACUGAUUACCACCUCUUCCAUAAUCUGUACACAGGAAAUGUUUUGAGUUGUGAUCAAAUUCUGAACGAAUCUAGCUUCCUAAUGAAAUCAUUAAGAUGCUGGACUCAUUGAAUUAAUUUCAUUGUUUUCAGAGAACCUUGACAACUGCAUAGAUUAUUUUUAAAGACAAUAAGCAUCUUUAAUGAUGCAGAUUUAUUAUUUGUGCGAAUGCAUUAAUAACAAUUCUAUUAAGCUGAUGCUUCAAUUUUGAAGUUAUU
rnacentral:tRNA from 1 species